GCCUUGCUGCGUUGCGGUCAAUUGUACCAAUAGAACAAAAAAAGGCGCUCGAUUAUUUAUGUUUCCUGCGGAUGAUGUUCGUCGACAGCAAUGGAUAUAUAAUCUCCGCAGAGAGUCUUGAACACCAACCAAAUCAUUGUACCUCUGUGAAAAACAUUUUGAAGAAUUACAGUUUGAGACUGGUCGAGCAGAUAAUUGGCGAAAAUUAAAACCAAACGCCAUACCAACACUUUUCGAUAUACCGGAUUCAUAUACCGGAUAAGUUUCUAUGAUACAUUACAGUAAGGUGGAUCAGGUAUAUCGAAAAGUGUUGGUAUGGCGUUUGGUUUAAUUUUCGCCAAUUAUCUGCUCGACCAGUCUCAAACUGUGAUUCU